AUUGAACGCUGGCGGCAGGCCUAACACAUGCAAGUCGAGCGGAUGAAGGGAGCUUGCUCCUGUAUUCAGCGGCGGACGGGUGAGUAAUUCCUAGGAAUCUGCCUGGUCGUGGGGGCUAACGUCCGGAAACGGGCGCUAAUCCCGCAUACGUCCUGAUGUAGAAAGUGGGGGAUCUUCAGACCUCGCGCUAUUAGAUGAGCCUAGUUCGGAUUAGCUAGUUGGUGGGGUAAAGGCCUACCAAGGCGACGAUCCGUAACUGGUCUGAGAGGAUGAUCAGUCACACUGGAACUGAGACACGGUCCAGACUCCUACGGGAGGCAGCAGUAGGGAAUAUUGGACAAUGGGCGAAAGCCUGAUGGAGCCACGCCGCGUGUGUGAAGAAGGUCUUCGGAUCGUAAAGCACUGUAAGUUGGGAGGAAGGGAAGUAAGUUAAUACCUUGAUGUUUUGACGUUACCAACAGAAUAAGCACCGGCUAACUUCGUG
rnacentral:rRNA from 1 species